rnacentral:rRNA from 1 species
GAUGAACGCUGGCGGCGUGCCUAAUACAUGCAAGUCGAGCGAAGGCUCUCUGGGGCUUGCCCUAUAAAGACUUAGCGGCGCACGGGUGUGUAAAACGUAAAGAACCCGCCUCAUACGCGGGGAAAACCGUUGGAAAAGAUAGCUAAAAACGGAAAACAGUCUUUCUCUCAAAAGAGAUGUUUAAAAGUUCGUUCUCCUAACAAUAUGAGGUUGCCUUGCUGUGCAUUAGCUAGUUGGUGGGGUAAAGGCCCACCAAGGCGACGAUGCGUAGCAGACCUGAGAGGGUGAUCGGCCACACUGGGACUGAGACACGGCCCAGACUCCUACGGGAGGCAGCAGUAGGGAAUCUUCCGCAAUGGGCGAAAGCCUGACGGAGCAACGCCGCGUGAGUGAAGAAGGACUUCGGUUCGUAAAGCUCUGUUGUUAGGGAAGAAUAGAUGUGUAUUAAUUCUACAUGUUAGUGACGGUACCUAACCAGAAAGCCACGGCUAACUACGUG